ensembl:lncRNA
GCUCUGCUUCAGGAAAGCCGAAGAGGACGUACACUUCCGCUGCAUGCACGCCUGCGUGCUUACAUCACGCUGAGCGCUUUGACCGCGAAGCAGACAGACAAACAAACAAAAUGGCAGAGGAGAGGAAUUCAUUUAUCCGGUGGAGAUACGCACACUAUUUUAACUAUGUCACCCAAAAAGACAAAAACGUGGUCGUGGAGUGUAAGCUUUGCGUGGGCAGCAAACGUUUGUCAACGGCAGCCAGCUCAUCCUCCAACCUUUUGAAACAUUUGCAGCGUCAACACUCAACUGUUAAGCUUGUCGCUGAAGAGCAACACAGCGAGGCUGCCGCCUCCGACACACCGACACGAUACAAGCAACCUCGUCUUGAAUUACGCUGUCAGGUUUCCCAGAGACUAUGGGUUGAGGAGGAAGUAGAAGUUUGUCAGCUUAGACCUAGUGUCAUUCCAUCAGUGUUAAACUUCCCGGCUAAUCUUGGAAGAGUACGUGCCAGAAAGACCACGACCAAGCAGCCUUGAGAUCUUAGGCAGCGUCUCCCUGAGGUCCCUCUCUAUCUCCCCACACAUCCACCAACCACUGGAACACAUCUCCAAAGUUCUGCCGGGCCAGCUCAGCUUCCCCUCAAAGAAGUGCCGCCACCUGCCAGAUGAAGGAGCCUUUUGAGAGGCAGCUGGCAUCGUGAUUGGACUGUACUUUGGUCUGUUCCAAUCCAGCUUCAGCUCCAGAGACGGCAGGCGGGACGAGUCAACGGAGGCCGGGUGGACGAAGACCAAAGAACUACAGACUCUUCACAACCUGCUCAAACUCUUGGUACAGGACCUCACCACAUGGGUCAAGAAGGUUUCCGUCUCAUUUCUACUCUGAAGCUCACCUUCUCCUGCUCAAACUGCUGAUAAAUGUUUCUGCUGCUCUGAAGUCUGGUCUCCAGAACUUCCUAAAAACUCUCAAAGUCUCUUCUGCUGCAGGUUGCUUUGUAGAACUGUUGCAGAAAACCUCACUAAACCACAUGGAGGGGCCUCAAGAUAGUCAUCCAAAUGAAACCGUACAAAAACCAAACUAGCACAACCCAAACGCUAAAGUCUCCUGCAGCCUACCAGAGAACCUCUGAGAACAGAGAAUCAGGACAGGAACUCUUACCUUCUGGACAACCAACGCUGGUUCACAAACAAGAAUACAGAAUGUGUCUGACCAAAAACCUCUGAAGACUCACUACAGCCAAG